rnacentral:rRNA from 1 species
UACGUAGGGUGCGAGCGUUAAUCGGAAUUACUGGGCGUAAAGCGUGCGCAGGCGGUUUUGCAAGCCGGAUGUGAAAUCCCCGGGCUCAACCUGGGAAUGGCAUUUGGGCUGCAAGGCUCGAGUGCGGCAGAGGAGACUGGAAUUCCUGGUGUAGCAGUGAAAUGCGUUGAUAUCAGGAGGAACACCCAUGGCGAAGGCAGCUGAACUGGCAUUAGUCGUGACGUCC